rnacentral:rRNA from 1 species
GCCCUUCGGGGUACACGAGUGGCGAACGGGUGAGUAACACGUGGGUAAUCUGCCCUGCACUUCGGGAUAAGCCUGGGAAACCGGGUCUAAUACCGGAUAUUCAGUUCCUGCCGCAUGGUGGGGGUUGGAAAGUUUUUCGGUGCAGGAUGAGCCCGCGGCCUAUCAGCUUGUUGGUGGGGUAAUGGCCUACCAAGGCGACGACGGGUAGCCGGCCUGAGAGGGUGAUCGGCCACACUGGGACUGAGACACGGCCCAGACUCCUACGGGAGGCAGCAGUGGGGAAUAUUGCACAAUGGGCGAAAGCCUGAUGCAGCGACGCCGCGUGGGGGAUGACGGUCUUCGGAUUGUAAACCCCUUUCAGUAGGGACGAAGCGCAAGUGACGGUACCUGCAGAAGAAGCACCGGCCAACUACGUGCCAGCAGCCGCGGUAAUACGUAGGGUGCGAGCGUUGUCCGGAAUUACUGGGCGUAAAGAGCUCGUAGGCGGUUUGUCGCGUCGUCCGUGAAAACUCGGAGCUUAACUCCGAGCUUGCGGGCGAUACGGGCAGACUUGAGUACUACAGGGGAGACUGGAAUUCCUGGUGUAGCGGUGAAAUGCGCAGAUAUCAGGAGGAACACCGGUGGCGAAGGCGGGUCUCUGGGUAGUAACUGACGCUGAGGAGCGAAAGCAUGGGUAGCGAACAGGAUUAGAUACCCUGGUAGUCCAUGCCGUAAACGGUGGGCGCUAGGGUGUGGGGUCCUUCCACGGAUUCCGUG